AUUGAACGCUGGCGGCAGGCCUAACACAUGCAAGUCGAGCGAGCGGCGGACGGGUGAGUAAUGUAUGGGGACUGCCCGAUAGAGGGGGCUAAGUACUGGAAACGGUGGAUAAUACCACAUACUUCUGGAUAACCCAUAUGGGGUUGGCUAGUAGGGAAGGUAAUGGAUUACGUAGGCGACGAGCACUUGCUGGUCUGUGAGGAUGAUCAGCCACACGGGGACGGAGACACGGCCAAGACUCCUACGGAGGCAGCAUGGGGGAAGAUGGCACAAUGGGGGCAAGCCCGAUGCAGCCAUGCAGCGUGUAUGAAGAAGGCCCUAGGGUUGUAAAGUACUUACAUUCGGGAGGCGUUACCGACAGAAGAAGCACCGGCUAACUCCGUGCCAGCAGCCGCGGUAAUAC
rnacentral:rRNA from 1 species